CACACUCCAUGUCUCCAACCCCCCACUAAGCAAAGAGCCAAAGAGGCGACGGCCGGCAGGAGAUAUUCUUUUUCGCGUCCUCGCGCGGGAUCAGCGAUCAGAUAGCCUUUCUGCCCCCCUUCUUCUUCUUCUCUGACAGACCACGUACUCCUUCCUAUAGCCACCCACAUUACCGUGCCCGUGCGUGCAUCUCUCUUUCUGAAUGGAUGCAGAGCCUGUGCCAUCGCCAUUUGCGGCAUACUACUAGUACUAAUCUUCCUAAACUGAUCGGCAUCGACACUCAGCAGGCAGUCAGCAGCACCCUUCCUAGAUCGCCGUUACCGGAGGAGAACGGGGAGCGUGCAAAACAGGUCGUGAGGCACAGAGGCAGUAGCAAACCGACGAACAGAAGCCACGGUCUUGUCUCACGCAAAAGCAUUUUUUUCCAGGCACGUUGAUGCUUGCUGCUGUCUAGUUGAAAAGAAAGAGAAAUCUGGCGUCCGACACGGAGUAAUGCAUGCAGUAGCCGCAUGCUCAGUUUGCACCGGCCGGGAUCGCACCAUCGACGUCACUAAAGCUGCUGGCCUGUUGAUGAUCUGGUAUUACUUCUCAUUGCUGCUUUAUAUUAAACCAUCAAAAAGUUUGCACCAAGAAUGAAUCAGCUAUCGUUUGUCGCAUAAUAUAAAAAAAGUACAGGAAAAGUAGGAACGGGAGACAGAGGUAGACGAAUCGAUCGAGAGUUUGGAUGGAGCCCAUCCAUGUUAGAAAAAUGUGACAUCAGCUGCCAGUAGCCUUCGUCCUGAAGCUCCUUGGCGGUUGUCAUUCCAACAAGAACGAACCAACAGGGAGGUGCGGGGGAUGCAAGAGAAACACUAUCGUCUGCACUGCACAGGUCAGGCCGCCGUAGGCUGUGGGCGAAACGAAAGCUAUCCAAUCUGGCAGACUGAUGACUCACUGGCUGAGUGGCAGUGAUCGAUUCCGGGAAUACCCGAUGAAUUAUUGGUAGUAGGUGGUGGGGGAAACGUCUGCCGCCGCCUCGUUCCUGGGCAGAAUGAUCGCAAAUUCGCAAGUCUUCCCCUCCCUCCCAAGCGCAGGAGGUAUUAUAGUACGCCGAGCGGGCGAGGAGCCGGG
rnacentral:lncRNA from 7 species